rnacentral:rRNA from 1 species
AGAGUUUGAUCAUGGCUCAGAUUGAACGCUGGCGGCAGGCCUAACACAUGCAAGUCGAACGGUAACAGGAAGCAGCUUGCUGCUUUGCUGACGAGUGGCGGACGGGUGAGUAAUGUCUGGGAAACUGCCUGAUGGAGGGGGAUAACUACUGGAAACGGUAGCUAAUACCGCAUAACGUCGCAAGACCAAAGAGGGGGACCUUCGGGCCUCUUGCCAUCGGAUGUGCCCAGAUGGGAUUAGCUUGUUGGUGGGGUAACGGCUCACCAAGGCGACGAUCCCUAGCUGGUCUGAGAGGAUGACCAGCCACACUGGAACUGAGACACGGUCCAGACUCCUACGGGAGGCAGCAGUGGGGAAUAUUGCACAAUGGGCGCAAGCCUGAUGCAGCCAUGCCGCGUGUAUGAAGAAGGCCUUCGGGUUGUAAAGUACUUUCAGCGGGGAGGAAGGGAGUAAAGUUAAUACCUUUACUCAUUGACGUUACCCGCAGAAGAAGCACCGGCUAACUCCGUGCCAGCAGCCGCGGUAAUACGGAGGGUGCAAGCGUUAAUCGGAAUUACUGGGCGUAAAGCGCACGCAGGCGGUUUGUUAAGUCAGAUGUGAAAUCCCCGGGCUCAACCUGGGAACUGCAUCUGAUACUGGCAAGCUUGAGUCUCGUAGAGGGGGGUAGAAUUCCAGGUGUAGCGGUGAAAUGCGUAGAGAUCUGGAGGAAUACCGGUGGCGAAGGCGGCCCCCUGGACGAAGACUGACGCUCAGGUGCGAAAGCGUGGGGAGCAAACAGGAUUAGAUACCCUGGUAGUCCACGCCGUAAACGAUGUCGACUUGGAGGUUGUGCCCUUGAGGCGUGGCUUCCGGAGCUAACGCGUUAAGUCGACCGCCUGGGGAGUACGGCCGCAAGGUUAAAACUCAAAUGAAUUGACGGGGGCCCGCACAAGCGGUGGAGCAUGUGGUUUAAUUCGAUGCAACGCGAAGAACCUUACCUGGUCUUGACAUCCACAGAACUUUCCAGAGAUGGAUUGGUGCCUUCGGGAACUGUGAGACAGGUGCUGCAUGGCUGUCGUCAGCUCGUGUUGUGAAAUGUUGGGUUAAGUCCCGCAACGAGCGCAACCCUUAUCCUUUGUUGCCAGCGGUCCGGCCGGGAACUCAAAGGAGACUGCCAGUGAUAAACUGGAGGAAGGUGGGGAUGACGUCAAGUCAUCAUGGCCCUUACGACCAGGGCUACACACGUGCUACAAUGGCGCAUACAAAGAGAAGCGACCUCGCGAGAGCAAGCGGACCUCAUAAAGUGCGUCGUAGUCCGGAUUGGAGUCUGCAACUCGACUCCAUGAAGUCGGAAUCGCUAGUAAUCGUGGAUCAGAAUGCCACGGUGAAUACGUUCCCGGGCCUUGUACACACCGCCCGUCACACCAUGGGAGUGGGUUGCAAAAGAAGUAGGUAGCUUAACCUUCGGGAGGGCGCUUACCACUUUGUGAUUCAUGACUGGGGUGAAGUCGUAACAAGGUAACCGUAGGGGAACCUGCGGUUG